AUUGAACGCUGGCGGCAGGCCUAACACAUGCAAGUCGAACGGUAACAGUAAGCAUCUUGCUGCUUUGCUGACGAGUGGCGGACGUGUUAGUAAUGUCUGGGAAACUGCCUGAUGUAGGGGUAUAACUACUGGAAACGGUAGCUAAUACCGCAUAACGUCGCAAGACCAAUGAUUGGGACCUUCGGGCCUCUUGCCCUCGGAUGUGCCCAGAUGGGAUUAGCUAGCAGGUGGGGUCACGGCUCACCUAGGCGACGAUCCCUAGCUGGUCUGAGAGGAUGACCAGCCACACUGGAACUGAGACGCGGUACAGACUCCUACGGGAGGCAGCAGUGGGGAAUAUUGCGCAAAGGGCGCAAGCCUGAUGCAGCCAUGCCGCGUGUAUGAAGAAGGCCUUCGGGUUGUAAAGUACUUUCAGCGGGGAGGAAGGGAGUAAAGUUAAUACCUUUGCUCAUUGACGUUACCCGCAGAAGAAGCUCCGGCGAACUCCGUG
rnacentral:rRNA from 1 species